rnacentral:lncRNA from 1 species
AUAGAUUAUAGUAAACCAUCAAACCAGGAACCUCCAGGAACGACCGCGCAUGCGCUGAAUGCUGAAACGAGCACAGAUGUCAACCCAAGGAUCAAAGCCAAAGAAACCAGCGGUUCGACCAAUCCAAAAGCGGAUGUCCAUAGACGAUAGUAAACCAUCAAACCAGGAACGACCGUGCAUGCGCUGAAUGCUGAAACGAGCACAGAGGUCAACCCAAGGAUCAAAGCCAAAGAAA